rnacentral:lncRNA from 1 species
CUACAACACCUCGACCCUUGAUCCAAUGAUCAUCCACUCUAAAGAAACCCAUAUGUCGAAGGGAAUGGUAUAAAUGUUAGUGUUCAGCAGUCUGCACACAGCCUCCCCCUCAAAACUUACACCAGACUGUCUAAAAAUAAUUGUCAGGGUAAUUUCAUAAGGUAAGAGAGCCUUGGAUCUACUCAAGGCCUCUCACAUGGUAUCAAUC